UGAACAGAUAAUUGUAAGUGUCCAAGUGAU
rnacentral:piRNA from 1 species